UGGUGCGAUCAUACUAGCAUUAAUGUAUCGGAUCCCAUCAGAACUUCGCAGUUAAGCGUACUUGAGCGAGAGUAGUACUAAGUUGGAUGACUACUUGGGAAGUCCUCGUGUUGCACUCC
rnacentral:rRNA from 1 species